CGCCGCUGUGCUGCUCCUGCUCACGGGGAUGUUUUACGAGAAGGGCCCCUCCCACCUCUGAGGAUGAUUCAUAAGACCACCCACAUUUACUACAACAUGUUUCCAGUUUCCAGGAUUCAGGAAAGCUCUGCCACCCGGUGGACGCUCGUGGUUAUCGCAAGAAAAUAUAAACUAUAAACCAAGAGGAAUCCAGCCUUCCUUAGAGAUCUGGAAGAAUUUACAGUACAAAUAAAUACCGAGUACAUCCUGGACAGGUUGUCAGCUCGAUGCCGGGCUGCUACAGAGACAGACAACCACAGGAGAUUUUUAGAGUCACUAAUUAACCCCACUAACUGCACACAACAGAGAAAAUGCAAACUCCUUAAUGAAGGCCCCGGCCAAAAAUAAAUAAAUACAUUUACAAAAAAAUUUAAUUACAUAUAUAUUAUGCACAUUUGAUUUACUGUUCAACUUGAGCUUUAUUGGAUGAUUUCAGCUCAGAAGUAUUCACACAAGCUGAAGACAGGUGGUGUCAGUGGGUUUGACACAAGCUGCCAAUCCCCGAUCAUCUGUAACUCUGUAAUAUCAUCAUGGUGAAGGUGUUUGCUGCAUGAACCGAAUUAAGACGCUAAAACAUGAAUAUCAGAGUUCAUAUAGAUACUUUAUUCACGCAAUAUGGGAAAAAAUGUACAAACAGUGAGAUUGAUGUACAGAUGACAGAAACAUCUGGAUUAAUGGUCAGGUGAUGACUUGGGGCUGUUGUCAAUUAGCUCUUUGUUAAGGGUCGGCACUUGGAA